AGGUCUGUGCAUGGAGUAGCUGUAGCAUUUUCCCGCCUGCUGGGGAGAGCCAGGCAGCAGGGACGCCCGGAACGAGUCCAGCGUGACACCAGUAACCCUUAUGAAGAGGAUAUUCACUACGCCUCGGUGGAUUGGCUGGGAAGCUCCAGGCAACCACUGCCCCAGAGAGAAGAGACACUGACAUACGCGGACAUCAAUCUGCAGCGGGGCAGAUGUCAUUAAUGCUCCACUUGCUGAAAUGUAGGACUCAGUGUGCAGCUGCAUCACAGAACCUCCCAAAAUCAGAGGCAACUGUAGGGGCCGUGCAGCUAGGCAGUGGGGAUCCUUCUCCGGGGACACACCUGGAUAAUGCAGUGUGCCCAAAGUGAUGCAUGAAAAAAUGUUUCUGCUGAAUAAAAUUGGGGAA